CACAGGACGGUGGGAAACUAAGUGAUCUCCCGGCCGUAUGUGUAUGUACUGUGUUCAAUAAACUCUCAGUGCUUUGGCUAACGACGUUCCAGACUCCUUCAUUCUACCUCAACAUUGCAACAACAGAAGUUUAUCUUCACAGUCCAGACUGGCGCUCCACUCCUGCUGCUCAGGGGGAACCUCUUCUUUAACCACCACCAGCUGCUGGAUGUCUGCAGACUGUCAAUCACACCCUUUUUCCAGAUGCCCUGGAGAGUUUCAGGACAACAUGUGCAUCUCAAUACAUUGAAUAUCAUGGAAAAGUGCAACAGAAAGUCUGCAGACGAUAAAGUGGAUAUGAAGGAGAGUGAGGACGGGAUGGGAGAGGAGGCUCUGAGAGGUUCCUGUGUGACGGCGAGGGGACGAGCCAGAGGAAGAAAGACGAUGGGGAGGAAAACGCAAGAUGCAAGGGGGCAGGUCCAGACACGGGGGAAGGAAUGGAGAAUUUAAUUUCUCUCUUCCUCUUCGUAAUCAACAUCUUUUGCUUCAUUUAAUGGACAUGGGCUUAAGAAGAAGGACAGAAGGGAGCAAGCUAUUCCUUUGUGUGCCACGGACAUUAUCUGUUUUCAGGAGACACAUUGGGAUGAAAGGUGUGUA